rnacentral:rRNA from 1 species
UACGUAGGGGGCGAGCGUUGUCCGGAGUUACUGGACGUAAAGGGCAUGCAGGCGGUCGGACGCGUUUCGGGUGACAGCGGGUGGCUUAACUACCCGAGUGGUCGAAAGACGGUUUGACUUGAGGACGCGAGAGGGACACGGAAUUCCGGGUGGAGUGGUGAAAUGCGGUAGAGAUCCGGAGGAACACCGAAGGCGAAGGCAGUGUCCUGGCGCGUAACUGACGCUGAGGUGCGAAAGCCAGGGGAGCAAAGCGGG